AAUUUGGUGGUUCAGUGGUAGAAUUCUUGCCUUCCAUGCAGGAGGCCCAGAUUU
rnacentral:tRNA from 1 species